AACCAUUCGAGACAAGAUUAUCCCGCAUGCUGUCUCAUGGUUUACAGGGGAGGCUAUUCAAGAUGAGGAAUUUGAGGACAUGGACAAUGAGGAUGAAGACGACGAAGACAAUGAUGAUGAAGAGGAUGAUGACGAGGAUGAGGACGAUGAGGAUGAAGAUGACGAUGAAGACGAGGAUGAAGAUGAAGGGAAGUCCAGGAAAAAGCCAACAGCUGGGAACAAGAAGGGUGGAAGAGCAGCGGGCGGGGAUGGUCAGCAAGGGGAGAGGCCUCCGGAAUGCAAGCAGCAGUAGAAACGAAUUUGAUUGGUUGGUGAGACUGUCUCGUGUCUUUCGAUAGUCCGCUGUACAAGUAAUUUUUGGUUGGAACGAGUGAGAGAGGGAGGGGAGGGGCCAGGGGGAAUGGGUUUGCAGUUUUCUAUGGGUUUUCUAUUGUCUAUGAUUUUUACUUCAAAUUUUUCUUCCAUGUAUUCUGGUACUAAAAGGGGAUUUAGGAGAGUCCAUUCCCUUUCCUUUAUGAUUAUUGUUAUUAUUAUUUUUUGUUCUUCAAUUUGUCGCUGGCUUGUGAAGAGGAUGGGUUUUUGCUCUGCUGCGUCGUCUGUUGGGGGAAGUUGGGAU
rnacentral:misc_RNA from 1 species